UUUGUUCUCGUAUUGGCAUCCUUGGUGAUAUUUAGCGCCCUCUGAUUAUUUUGCGUAUUUGAUGGUGCUACAUAGCCUUCCCGGUUUGGUGCCUUCUUUUGAUAAUUACUUACUUACUUGUGUUAUACUUCCCAUCCAAAAGUUUCUUGUAAGCAGCUUGUCUUUUUUUUUCUUUAACAAAUGGACAAAUUUGUAUUGUCCCAUAACAUUAUCAUGUCAUUCAUGCCAGUGUAAAAGGCAAUAGCAUGAAGGUCAAAGCUUGAAAUAUCCUGGAAUAUGAAGUACCAUACGAGUUGAUCCUCGAGUGACAACCACAUUAGUACAGUAGAUAGCCUCCAUAUUAGACAUAAAAGGAAGACUUGAUCACCACGUUAGAAAUAGAAGAGUGAAAGGGAAUUGGGAGUGGAAUGGUAGGCAGUCAGUAUGGGGGAAGGGAGACUUUUGGAGUACAGUACAGUACUGUCCAUUCAGUAGAGCCAGGCUGUCACCUGAUCGGAUGACAGGCAAAGUUAUCAGUCACUAGCACUGAUUUUAUAGUUUUCUUCGAGGUGACAUCAACUGCAUAAUAUCUUUUUGAUCAUGAAAUUACAUUAACUCCAACCAGUUACUGCUGGCUAAUAAUUCUUAGACAUAAAGGAAAGAGGACAAAUCAGAAGAGCAUGUUAAGAUAGGGCUACCUGAAUAGGUUUCAGUUGUGGUUACUCCAUCAGAGGGGCGUUCAUGGGGAUAAAGACAGAUUCUACAGUAAAUUGUUAAUUCCUCUUUUAGGACUGCCUCCUCUUCCAUUUUGCUUAGUUAUGCAAAGUUGUUGUUUUAUGGUUACAAAGGAAACAUAUCAUUCCUUAAUUUCUUAUUUUGACUGUAUCAGAAUUUAGAAUUUCUAAAAUAUAGUUACAGGUUGUAAGUACAGUAUGUAUAACAGUUUAUACAGUACUAUACUUAGUGUAUAAAAUAUAUAUUAAUGCAGGCCAUAUGUAUUAUUGUUAAAUAUGUACUUUUGUAUUUCAUAGUAAACCUUUUACCAUAAUAUAUAAUUAUCUUCUCCUUUCAAUAGUGCAUUUGUCAUGUUGAAUUAUAUGGUAUAUCAGGAUUUUAUCGGUACUACCUUGUUGACUGCGUGUUCCUCCCGUUACUAUACUGUAUACAGUAUCUCUCCUUCCCAUUACAGUAUUACGCUGAGAUGUAUCAGUAAGGUGGUUGGGCUCACUGGCUCAAGCAAAGAAUAUUCACUAUACAAUACUAUAUUGAAUAUAAAUUCAGUGGAUUUUGUACUACAUGGGAACCUGGUCCAAGAUAGGGAUUUUAAUCUAGCCAGUGACCUGUACAAUGAAUUUGGCAUCUAGAUAAUGCAGAAUUCCUCCAAGACUGAUAAUUUUAAAUUAAUAUUACUAAGAAAUUCAAACAGUGCUUUUUCCAUGGGAUUUCUGCAUCAAAUUAUGCACAAAUGUAUGUCCUAUCAUGUGCACAAAUAAAGGGUGAAUGCUGUGGAUCUUGUUGUCCAUUAAAAUCUGUACAAUAAAGCUUUGUCACAUGCCAUCCCUAAGGUG
rnacentral:lncRNA from 1 species